rnacentral:rRNA from 1 species
ACACAUGCAAGUCGAACGAAGCACCUUUUAAGAUUCUUCGGAUGAUUGAUUGGUGACUGAGUGGCGGACGGGUGAGUAACGCGUGGGUAACCUGCCCUGUACAGGGGGAUAACAGUUGGAAACGGCUGCUAAUACCGCAUAAGCGCACGAGAGGACAUCCUCUUGUGUGAAAAACUCCGGUGGUACAGGAUGGGCCCGCGUCUGAUUAGCUGGUUGGCAGGGUAACGGCCUACCAAGGCGACGAUCAGUAGCCGGUCUGAGAGGAUGAACGGCCACAUUGGAACUGAGACACGGUCCAAACUCCUACGGGAGGCAGCAGUGGGGAAUAUUGCACAAUGGGGGAAACCCUGAUGCAGCAACGCCGCGUGAGUGAAGAAGUAUUUCGGUAUGUAAAGCUCUAUCAGCAGGGAAGAUAAUGACGGUACCUGACUAAGAAGCUCCGGCUAAAUACGUGCCAGCAGCCGCGGUAAUACGUAUGGAGCAAGCGUUAUCCGGAUUUACUGGGUGUAAAGGGUGCGUAGGUGGCAGUGCAAGUCAGAUGUGAAAGGCCGGGGCUCAACCCCGGAGCUGCAUUUGAAACUGCAUAGCUAGAGUACAGGAGAGGCAGGCGGAAUUCCUAGUGUAGCGGUGAAAUGCGUAGAUAUUAGGAGGAACACCAGUGGCGAAGGCGGCCUGCUGGACUGUUACUGACA